CGACCAAGGGUGAACUGUUGCUAGCCGCAGCGUCUCUGCCCAUGAAAGCGGCCUGUCGCGAAAGCGCCAGGUGGGUGGUGUGUCCUCGUUAAAAACCGUAAGCGCUAGUCACUACCUGAUAGUGGCGACACCCUCAAAUUGCGGGGACAGCCUAAAGGCGUUGAGUACGAAACAGCGGGAAACCAGCUGGCCGGCAUUCGCCGGACGUGGAAAUCUUAACGCAUGUUACAAUGGCCAAUCCGCAGCCAAGCCCCUAAGGGUAGCCCAGCUAUCUAGGGGGAAGGUUCAGAGACUUGACGGGGGUGGUCCCUUGGAGCAACGCACGUUGGUUUUUUUUACAGUGCAAUUACAGCGUUGGCCUCCGAGGGAUAAGAUAAAGUCCGAGCACGGGGCGAAAGCCCCGUGAGGUUGGUGCUCUAUCAACUAAAAAUGGGAGCCUGCGGCUUAAUUUGACUCAACACGGGGAAACUCACCAGGUU
rnacentral:rRNA from 1 species